rnacentral:rRNA from 1 species
AUUGAACGCUGGCGGCAGGCUUAACACAUGCAAGUCGAGCGGGGGAAGGUAGCUUGCUACCGAACCUAGCGGCGGACGGGUGAGUAAUGCUUAGGAAUCUGCCUAUUAGUGGGGGACAACAUCUCGAAAGGGAUGCUAAUACCGCAUACGUCCUACGGGAGAAAGCAGGGGAUCUUCGGACCUUGCGCUAAUAGAUGAGCCUAAGUCGGAUUAGCUAGUUGGUGGGGUAAAGGCCUACCAAGGCGACGAUCUGUAGCGGGUCUGAGAGGAUGAUCCGCCACACUGGGACUGAGACACGGCCCAGACUCCUACGGGAGGCAGCAGUGGGGAAUAUUGGACAAUGGGGGGAACCCUGAUCCAGCCAUGCCGCGUGUGUGAAGAAGGCCUUAUGGUUGUAAAGCACUUUAAGCGAGGAGGAGGCUACUUUAGUUAAUACCUAGAGAUAGUGGACGUUACUCGCAGAAUAAGCACCGGCUAACUCUGUGCCAGCAGCCGCGGUAAUACAGAGGGUGCGAGCGUUAAUCGGAUUUACUGGGCGUAAAGCGUGCGUAGGCGGCUUAUUAAGUCGGAUGUGAAAUCCCCGAGCUUAACUUGGGAAUUGCAUUCGAUACUGGUGAGCUAGAGUAUGGGAGAGGAUGGUAGAAUUCCAGGUGUAGCGGUGAAAUGCGUAGAGAUCUGGAGGAAUACCGAUGGCGAAAGCAGCCAUCUGGCCUAAUACUGACGCUGGGGUACGAAAGCAUGGGGAGCAA